rnacentral:piRNA from 1 species
GAAACCAUGAUUGUGCUUGGGUUC